GACGGAGGGUGCAAGCGUUGUUCGGAAUUACUGGGCGUAAAGGGCGCGUAGGCGGUCUGUUAAGUUCGGUGUGAAAGCCCCCGGCUCACCUGGGGAACUGCGCCGGAAACCGACAGACUCGAGUACCGGAGAGGAGGGUGGAAUUCCUGGUGUAGCGGUGAAAUGCGUAGAUAUCAGGAGGAACACCGGUGGCGAAGGCGGCGUGCUGGACCUUUUCUGACGCUGAGGCGCGAAAGCUAGGGGAGCAAACGGG
rnacentral:rRNA from 1 species